rnacentral:hammerhead_ribozyme from 1 species
AUUCAUCUGAUGAGUCCGGAAUAGGACGAAACGGAUGUGCUGUAU